AAAGUCUUAGUUAAAUAAUAACAUUAAUUUGUCAAAUUAAAAUCACUAUAAAUAGUAGGCUUUU
rnacentral:tRNA from 1 species